rnacentral:rRNA from 1 species
UGGCGGACGGGUGAGUAAUGUCUGGGAAACUGCCUGAUGGAGGGGGAUAACUACUGGAAACGGUAGCUAAUACCGCAUAACGUCGCAAGACCAAAGAGGGGGGACCUUGGGCCUCUUGCCAUCGGAUGUGCCCAGAUGGGAUUAGCUAGUAGGUGGGGUAAAGGCUCACCUAGGCGACGAUCCCUAGCUGGUCUGAGAGGAUGACCAGCCACACUGGAACUGAGACACGGUCCAG